rnacentral:rRNA from 1 species
AACGAACGCUGGCGGCAUGCCUAACACAUGCAAGUCGAACGAGACCUUCGGGUCUAGUGGCGCACGGGUGCGUAACGCGUGGGAACCUGCCCUUAGGUUCGGAAUAACUCCCCGAAAGGGGUGCUAAUACCGGAUAAUGUCUUCGGACCAAAGAUUUAUCGCCUUUGGAUGGGCCCGCGUUGGAUUAGCUAGUUGGUAGGGUAAAAGCAUACCAAGGCGACGAUCCAUAGCUGGUCUGAGAGGAUGACAAGUCACAAUGGGACUGAGACACGGCCCAGACCGGGACGCAGGGGAGGAGAAGAGUGUAUUAGGCACGGAGGGAUAGCCUAACACAGCAACGCGGGGGAUGAGAGGAAGGGGUUUGGGUUCUGAAUCCGCUUUUGCCGAGGUGAGAGUGACAGUACUGGGUGAAUAAGCUCCGGCUAACUCCGUG